AUACGUAGGUGGCAAGCGUUAUCCGGAAUUAUUGGGCGUAAAGCGCGCGUAGGCGGUUUCUUAAGUCUGAUGUGAAAGCCCACGGCUCAACCGUGGAGGGUCAUUGGAAACUGGGAAACUUGAGUGCAGAAGAGGAAAGUGGAAUUCCAUGUGUAGCGGUGAAAUGCGCAGAGAUAUGGAGGAACACCAGUGGCGAAGGCGACUUUCUGGUCUGUAACUGACGCUGAUGUGCGAAAGCGUGGGGAUCAAACAGGAUUAGAUACCCUGGUAGUCCACGCCGUAAACGAUGAGUGCUAAGUGUUAGGGGGUUUCCGCCCCUUAGUGCUGCAGCUAACGCAUUAAGCACUCCGCCUGGGGAGUACGACCGCAAGGUUGAA
rnacentral:rRNA from 1 species